rnacentral:rRNA from 1 species
AUACGGAGGGUGCAAGCGUUAAUCGGAAUUACUGGGCGUAAAGCGCUCGUAGGCGGUUUGUUAAGUCGGAUGUGAAAGCCCCGGGCUCAACCUGGGAACUGCAUUCGAUACUGGCAAACUAGAGUAUAGAAGAGGCAAGUGGAAUUCCGGGUGUAGCGGUGAAAUGCGUAGAUAUCCGGAGGAACAUCAGUGGCGAAGGUGACUUGCUGGUCUAAUACUGACGCUGAGGAGCGAAAGCGUGGGGAGCAAACGGGAUUAGAAACCCCAGUAGUCC